GUGCAAGUUAGUAAGGGUCCGGGGUGGAUGCCUCGGCUGCCUGAGGGGACGAAGGGCGUGUUAAGCUGCGAUAAGCCGGGUGGAGGCGCAAAAAGCCUGUGAGGCCCGGAUGCCCGAAUGGGGAAACCCGGCAGGGUGUUGAGCCCUGUCAUCCGCCGAUUAGGCGGAGCCUAACGGGACGAAGUAAAACCUUCUAGUAGUCCUAGGAAAGGAAAUCAAACGAGACUCCCCAAGUAGCGGCGAGCGAAAGGGGACCAGCCCAAACUCUGCGGGUGCCAUGGUGGCAGCCUUAGCUCGCAGAGGGUUGCGGGACGCAUCCGGAGAGGUCUGCCAGCCUCUCGGGGAGUUACAAAACUUCCGCCUAGCCGAAGUGAGCUGGAAUGCUCCGCCACAGAGGGUGAAAGCCCCGUAGGCUAAAGGUGAGAAGUCUCCCGGGGAUGCGAUCCCAAGUACCACGGCCCCCGUGGAAGGUCGUGGGAAUCAGGGGGGACCUCCCUCCAAGGCUAAGUACUACAGGCAGACCGAUAGCGCAUAGUACCGCGAGGGAAAGGUGAAAAGAACCCCGGAAGGGGAGUGAAAUAGAACCUGAAACCCCGGAUCCACAAGCCAGUGGAAGGGUCUUUAUGGCCCGACUGCGUGCCUUUUGCAGAAUGAGCCAGGGAGUUGUCCUCAGCGGCGAGGUUAAGCCGUCAGGCGAAGCCGUAGCGAAAGCGAGUCCGAAUAGGGCGUUAAGUCGCUGGGGGCAGACGCGAAGCGGAACGAUCUACCCAUGCCCAGGGUGAAGGACGGGUAACGCCGUCUGGAGGCCCGAACGGGUCGGUGCUGCAAAACCGUCCGAUGAGGUGUGGGUAGCGGUGAAAAGCCAAUCGCGUUCCGUGAUAGCUCGUUCUCCCCGAAAUAGGUCGACGCCUAGCGUCCUACGGUCCUUCCCGGAGGUAGAGCCACUGGUUGGGCUAGGGCCUCGAAAGAGGUACCGAACCCUGCCAAACUCCGAAUGCCGGGAAAGGUAGUAGGGCAGUCAGUCCCCGGGGGAUAAGCUCCGGUGGACAAGAGGGAAACAGCCCAGACCGCCAGCUAAGGUCCCAAAAUCCGGGCUAAGUGGGGAAGGAUGUGCGGCUGCUAAGACAGCUGGGAGGUUGGCUUAGAGGCAGCCAUCCUUUAAACAGUGCGUAACAGCUGACCGGCCGAGCGGCCGUGCGCCGAAAAUUUAGCGGGGCUCAAGCCCGGUACCGAAGCUGCGGGCUCGCGUAAGCGAGCGGUAGGGGAGCGUUCCCUGUGGGCCGAAGUCUCACCGCGAGGUGGGAUGGACUGCAGGGAAGUGAGAAUCCUGGCAUGAGUAGCAGCGAAGACAGGUGAGAAACCUGUCCGCCGGAAGCCCCAGGUUUUGGCGGCAAUGUAAAUCAUCCGCCAGUUAGCCGGGACCCUAAGGUGAGGCCGGAAGGCGUAGCCGAUGGGAAGCGGGUCAACAUUCCCGCGCCAGCUGUGUGGAGCCAGAGUCGUGACGCAGGAGGCUAGGGAGAGCCACCUAUGGAAUGGUGGUCUAAGGUAGUAGGAGGGGGUGGCAGGCAAAUCCGUCACCCCAUACUCCGAGAGCCGAUGGGGUAACUCUCCUGACGCCACACUGCCGAGAAACAACGGCGCUGGCGUUGAAGCACAGCUGCCCGUACCGGAAACCGACACAGGUGGGCUGGGUUAGUAGCCUAAGGCGUCGGGGGAACUCUCCUCAAGGAACUCGGCAAGUUGCCCCCGUACCUUCGGUAGAAGGGGGGCCCAUGGGAGUGAAGCCCUUGCGGCGUAAGCUCCUGUGGGUCGCAGAGACCGGGCGGUGCCGACUGUUUAUCAAAAACACAGGACUACGCAAACCCGUAAGGGGCUGUAUGUGGUCUGAAGCCUGGCCAGUGCCCGUAGGUUAAGGGGAGGAGUGCAAGCUCCGAACCGAAGCCCGGGUAAACGCCGGCCGUAACUAUGACGGUCCUAAGGUAGCUUUAGCUGCCUGAACUCCGCUGUAUGCGGGGAAGCCCUUAGAGCCCUGACUACGAGGCAUAAAUUUUUCGCCCGUAAAAAUGUCAGGGAUUGGGCAAUCCGCAGGAAACUGACCCACAGGGUCAGGAUCCUCAGAGACUGUACGCGGAGGUCCUUGUCUCAAGGAGGAGCACCAUGGAGCUAUCUCCCGAUUGGGUGGUAGGCUUUACUGACGGUGAAGGAUGCUUCCAUGUAUCCGUAAACAAGCAUCCAGAUAUGGCGUUGGGUUACCAAGUGCUUCCAGAGUUUGUCAUAGUCCAGCACGAGAGAGACAUUCAGAUUCUCUAUGCUCUCAAGCGCUUCUUUGGCUGUGGCACAGUCCGUAAGAACAACGGUGAUAGAUGGUGCUUAAGAAUCAGAAAGCUCUCGUGUUUGGAAAAACUCUGUGACUUCUUCAUAAAGCAUCCUCUCAAAACUAGGAAGAGUGUGGAUUUUGUGAAGUUCAGGAGAAUAAUCCAGAAGAUGAAAAAUGGUGAGCAUCUUUCUCCUGAGGGAUUGUUGGAGAUAGUGAACAUAGCUAUGGAGAUGAACACCCAAGACAGAGAAAAGCUCCUCCUUAUAAAGAGGGACCUAGAGGCAAGGACAAGAUACAGUCCACCCCUUUGCGAAAGCAAAGGAUAAAGGUGAGCGAAAUUCCUUGUCGGGUAAGUACGGACUUGCCCGUGUCCGGCUCAUAUCGGGGGAGCCCUCCUACCCAUAAAGGGUGUGGGGUAAUCCCGAGGGAAGCCUGUUUCUCGUGAGGGAAACAGAGCCCCGUAACGACUGACCCGAAAGGGGAGGCAGGCUUCUUAGCCUGCAAGACGCCGGCCACCACCCGCUUCCAUAAGGAAGCAAGGAAGCGCAGAAAGGGCUAUGGAGGUAUAGCCAUAUGCUUGAUCCUUGGUAUGUUACGGGACUUGUUGAGGGUGAAGGGUGCUUUUCAGUAAGCUUCAGUCUAAGGGAUAGGCUAAAAGUAGGUAUAGAAACAAGACCUUCCUUUUCUGUGUCUUUAAACAGAAGGGACCUGGAGCUUAUAAAGAAGCUUAGGGAAUUCUUCCAGUGUGGAGGAAUAAGAUUUUCAAAAAGUGAUAACACCUACAAGUUUGAAGUGAGGGAUGUAAAGGACAUAGUAAAGAAGGUAAUACCUCACUUUGAAGCGUACCCCUUACAAGGCUCAAAAAAAGAAGAUUACGAAAAGUUUAAAAGGGUUUGUCAAAUGAUAAGAGCAAACCUGCACCUUUCACCCCAAUACCUGAGGGAAAUAAUAGAAAUAGCAUAUUCUAUGAACCCUUCUGGUAGGCGUAAACAUACCAAGGAGUACCUCCUACAGGUCCUUGGUGGUGAGAAGGUAUAGUCUACCCCUUGCCGAAAGGCAAGAAAGGGUGAAGUUCCGACCUGCAUGAAUGGCCCAACGAGUGCCGCGCUGUCUCGAGGAGAGUCCCGGCGAAAUUGUAAUGCCGGUCAAGAUGCCGGCUACCCGCGGCAGGACGGAAAGACCCCGUGAAGCUUCACUGUAAUCUGGUACUGAGUCUUAGCCUGUCCUGCGCAGGAUAGGUGGGAGCCUGUGAAGUCCCUCCUCCGGGAGGGAUGGAGGCGCCGGUGAGAUACCACCCUGGACAGGCUGAGACCCUAACCGAGCCGAGUUAACCUCGGCCGGGACCGUGCCAGAUGGGCAGUUUAGCUGGGGCGGCUGCCUCCUAAAAGGUAACGGAGGCGUCCAAAGGUACCCUCAGGCGGGUCGGAAAUCCGCCGUAGAGUACAAGGGCAGAAGGGUGCCUGACUGUGAGGCAGACAUGCCGAGCAGAGGCGAAAGCCGGGCCUAGUGACCCACCGGUUCCUCGGGGAAGGGCCGGUGAUCAGCGGAUAAAAGCUACUCCGGGGAUAACCUGUGUUGUCCCGCUCCCAGGCAACUGGGAGGCAAUAACGCGGCUUAUAACGGGGGAGCCCUCCUGCCCGAGCAGGGCGUGGGGUAAUCCCGUGGGAAGUCAGGAGAGGCACCAUGAUCAGUAAAAGACAGAAAGAGAUAAUCAUAGGUACCCUUUUAGGUGAUGGAUACCUGCAGUCAACAGGGAAAAGAAACGCGAGGUUAAAGCUUGAACACUCAGAAAGGCAAAAAGAUUACAUCUUCUGGAAGUGGGAAGAGCUUAAAAACCUCAUGCAGGACAAGCCCAGAAGGAUAGAAAGGUACAACCCGAGAUGGGGGAAAAGCUACACCUACUACAGAUGUCAAAGCCACUCAAUGCCCUUUCUGGGAAAACUUAAAAGGCUAUUUUAUGACCAGAAGGGCAAGAAAAGGGUACCUGAAAAGAUAGAAGCUCUUUUAAAGUCACCCCUCUCUUUAGCGGUAUGGUAUAUGGAUGAUGGAUACUACUACAGAAGGGAUAAGGUGGCUUACAUAUACCUACCCAAGUACGAAGAAGAGGAACUUCAAAGGCUUAUUAGGACACUGGAAGUAAACUUUAGUCUCAAGCCGAAACUUGUAUGGAAAAAGGGAUACCCUGUGCUUUACUUUCCAAAAGAGGAAACUCAGAAACUUAUGGAGAUAGUAAAGCCGUGGGUACCAGAGUUUAUGAGAUAUAAAACCUCUCCUGACCCCGUAACGACUGAGGGUGCGUCACCCGAGGGUUCUACCAAAAGGUAGAGCCAAAACGCCGCGCUCCCCACCAACAAAGAGUGGGGAUGAAGAUAUAGUCUAACCCUCCAGGAAACUGGAGAAAGGUUGAACAGGCUAAUCUCCCCCGAGAGCCCACAUCGACGGGGAGGUUUGGUACCUCGAUGUCGGCUCCCCCCAUCCUGGGGCUGAAGCAGGUCCCAAGGGUUGGGCUGUUCGCCCAUUAAAGGGGGACGCGAGCUGGGUUCAGAACGUCGCGAGACAGUUCGGUCCCUAUCCGCCGCGGGCGCAGGAGUCUUGAGGGGGUCCGUCCUUAGUACGAGAGGACCGGGACGGGGCAGGCUCUGGUGUACCGGUUAUCUCUCCAGAGGUAGCGCCGGGUAGCCAUCCUGCUACGGGAUAAGCGCUGAAAGCAUCUAAGCGCGAAGCCCACCCCAAGAUAAGGACUCCCUGAAGGGCCCUGGAAGACUACCAGGUUGAUAGGCAGCAGGUGGAAGCUCCGCAAGGGGUGUAGCCAAGCUGUACUAAUAGCCCGUUCGACUUGCACAC
rnacentral:rRNA from 1 species